GCGGGCGUAGCCCAGUGGUUAGGGUACUGCCUUCCCAGUGACUCUGGAAAAAAGGCAGGGGUCGGGAGUUCGAACCUCUCCGUCCGCA